CCACUGGAUGACGGAGACCUUAUCUCCUACAUCCUCACCGGCCUCGACUUCGACUACAAUCCAGUGGUCUCAUUCGUUGCCAGGCGUGCUGAUCCAAUCUCAGUCAGCGAGCUCUACGCUCUGCUUGUUGGCUUUGAGA
rnacentral:snoRNA from 1 species